AGCUUUGUGCAGUGGCAGUAUCAUAGCCAAUGAGGUUUAUCUGAGGUGUGAUUAUUGCUAAUUAAAGCUUGUAGCACACUAUAAUUCUGUC
rnacentral:snRNA from 1 species